rnacentral:rRNA from 1 species
UAGAGGAAGUAAAAGUCGUAACAAGGUUUCCGUAGGUGAACCUGCGGAAGGAUCAUUAUCGAAUUCAGGUCGGAAAGGGGGGAGAGACUGUCGCCAUGAUCACCGGACGUGUGCACGUCUUCCCUCCCGAUCCACCACUGCUAUACUGCAACACACCCGUGCACCCUUUGUAGGUCCUCGACAGAGGAUCUAUGUCUUCGUUCAUUCUCCACGUCGUAUGUCYCAUGAAAUAAAUCAUAACAUUUUGUAUACAACUUUCAGCGACGGAUCUCUUGGCUCUCGCAUCGAUGAAGAACGCAGCGAAUCGCGAUAUGUAAUGUGAAUUGCAGAUAUUCAGUGAAUCAUCGAAUCUUUGAACGCACCUUGCGCUCCUUGGUAUUCCGAGGAGCAUGCCUGUUUGAGUGUCAUUGAAUUCUCAACCGUGUGUCUUGAUGACUCGAGAUGCAUGGCUUGGACUUUGAGGGCUGCCGGCCCUGUUUGUUUGUUUGCGCUGGCAAACAUUCUCGAAGGGGUCGGCUCUCUUGAAAUGCAUUAGUGGAUCGACGUGCAGCGGGAACAGUACGGUCUGAGACACGCCCGUCUGGUCUGGUCGACGUGAUGAUGAUCGUCGUCCGGGUCUGGGCCUGAUCGGGGCCUUGUCCCCUCGCCACGCCAGUUUGCUUCCAACCAACACCCCCCCUUGACAUCUUGACCUCAAAUCAGGUAGGACUACCCGCUGAACUUAAGCAUAUCAAUA